AGGAACUGCCAGCAUGUUUCCCAGAGUGACUGUGCCAUUUUGUACUCCUUCCAGCCAUGCAAGAGAAUUCUUGGCUCUCUGCAUACUCACGGACACUUGCAACUGGACACUGUGUUUGACAUUCAACCCACCACCAACAGCAGCUUCAUGCAUCUACCACCAACUCUGGCUUCCUGGAUAUGCGACCUGUACAGUGGGUCACUGAGACUGCAGAUCAGGAGCAUUACAGGACGCCUGAUGUCACUCUUCCUCGGACCUCAGAAUCUUCCUAUGUCAGACUCAGUGGGCUCACGGGCCCCGUUCUGCUCCCUCUUCACUGGGAUGCAGCACGCCCAGAGAUGAAGUCUUCAGGCUUAGAAUUCCCACUGCCAGGAUUUAAACCCUGGCUCACCUCCUGCUAGCUGUGCACACUCAA